UGUUACUCCCUGUCAGUCGUGGCUGCCGUCUCCCAGUCUUGCCAAUCUACGUGAGCUGAAGGUAACGUGUGGUUCAACCGCUGAGAAGAACUACUGUAUUGACUAGCAUCCUGUAUGACGGCAAAUCAAAAACCUUUCGUUGUCUGUGGCCACGACGCAAAGUAAACUUCCUCAUUCCCGGCAUCAGUGCAAAAUCUCCAGUAUGUGUUGUAAAGGAGAGAGACAUGCACUUAAGCCGCAUGGCAUCAUGAAGUUUAUAAACCAGUGACGGCGAGGGUAAAGAACAUUUGAAUAAAGACAGAAAUGAGAAGAUGUUAUAGCUUCAGUUUACUUUCUUCACAUUUCCAUCCCUACUACAUUAGUGUUCUGAUUGUUCGGUAGACUCCCAUUUACAGCAAUAGAUUACCUUUAAGAUGUUUUCUGUGCUGGUUAUAAAAUGAAAGUUAAUAAGUCAAAGAGGAUUGGCUGAACAGAUAUUGAAAUUGUGGUUAGUGCAUGUAAAAAGAGACAAGAAAAAAACAAUACUGAAGGGUUAAAUGGGGCACAACAUGCUGAACUGCUUUCAUUUCUUGACAGGAAUUGGUUUUGCUUGGUAUUCAGUAUGAAGUGAAGCUGAUUGGAGAAAGAUCACAAUAUAACUUGUUUUCAAAUUUACCAGAUUCAACUAAAAUCCACAUCUUAAGAAUGUGGUAGCAACACACCCUAUCAGGAUGUCAUUUCAAAGCAAACAAAAUAAACCACACGUUUCUUUCACAGACUCACCGACAGUGCAUAUAAGUAGGUAAACCUUUAUCGUGGUCAUCAUCACCUCUUCUUGUCUAAGCACCAGGCGAAAAACUCCUGCCGCUGUGUUUCUGAUGCCUGUCUCUUCCGAUUUAUGUCAGUGUGUAGGCUCAGCCUACCAAAACAUGAACAAGCUAACCACAAUGUUUGUUUAUACUUGUCACGUCAGCAGACUUGAUGUUUCAGCCAAUAGGCCCCAUUAUUAAAUCAGUAGCCUAUAUUGUAAUUUUUGGCUGUACUUUACAAUAUAACACUAAUUAAAUAUCACACUACUGUAUUGUACUACA